GUAGUAAAACAAAAAAUAAUAAGUUUUUGAAAUGUUCGUUCCUUCAAAGUAAUUGUUAAGAUAAGAAAAUAGUCAUAUUUUUUACCCAAUCGUUUGUUACGAUAACGUUGCUAACUUCAAUCUAGUUCCCGUGAUGCCGAUCGAUUUCAAUUCAAUCGCGACGACUGACAGAGAGAAAAAAAAUUGCACGUUAAUUCGAUGCAUGAAAAACACGAAGAAUCAGACAUUUUACACGGUUAAUUUGAAUUCAGGUCGGUAAUGUAUGGCUAGCUAUUAUUUACACUAAAUUUACGGCUAUAAUGUCGUGUAAAUUAUUUCGAACGACUGUUGCAAAUUUGUUUUUCAGGAAUGAAACUUUGGGCGUAAAACCGAAGGAGACCAAAAAAAUUCCGACACGACUUGCAAAUGAAUCCGUUUUACUUAUCUUUUAUUCGAAUUUAUACAACAAUACAUCCACUCCAUUUUUUCUCUGUUUCACGGUACGUGUAUUCGAUAAUAUAAUUCGGGGAAUGAAAUAUUAAGCGGAAGGUUGCUUCGAUGCUAAUUACGUACGCUUUAACGAUUACAGAAUCGUGACGUAAACGCGCAUUUACCGUAACAUAUGCCACAACAUCCAGAUCCGCGGUCAGAACGAACUUUUCAAAAUAGUGAAUAAUGCAAAUCCGAGUUAUUUUUUUCAACUACAACGAAGAGAUGCAGUGAGGAUUCUUUUCUAGAAUACGUAUGAAACGAGACACCUCAGUCGCGACGACCUUCAAGGACAAGGCGGCGGGAAUUCAAGGUCAGGCGGGGACUGGGUGAAGGCCGUCAUGACCUUGGCAAAGAGCUUCCGACCGUUACUCUACAUCUCGUGGUGUUUAUAAGCGACUGGAUUUCGAUCUCCGUUCAAAGCCCUUACUUUCUUCAUUUGCAUAAGUUGUUCAACAACUUGUAAGUGUCGUGCAUACGACGUUGUAAUAAAUUACAGGACGUACCUGUAGGCAUAAACGUUGGCCUUAGUGGUGUAUGAUGGAAAAUAAGACUAUUGUGUAACAGCGGUUAUGGCAAUUCCUUCAACCGAAAUAACUAACGAGACUAGUGGAAACAUCAAAGUCGAUCACAACCUUGAAUUCGAUCGCUGCAUGAUGCGACAUGUGUGCGUACGUUCCUUGUGGAUUUACACUAUACGUAUUAUCUCAGUUCUCUGGUCAAUUUGGAUAUCCAUGAGGUCGGAGUUUGUAACGUUAAUGUAACGAUUGACUUGUAGAAAAAACAAUGUACCCAGUCA